AUAGUUCUCGUGUUCCCAAACCGUCCGUCCGGCGGAUUCACGAACGGCUCUCCGCGAACGUUGAAGUAGACGGAACAUGUUUACGUUAUUGUAUAGAGCCAAGGUUUCUUUGGAUCAAUCAUGAGACUAUCACCUAUUUUACUGACAUCACAGUACUACGUGAAUAAUGUAAGACCAAAGAAUGGAAGAAGACCAACACGACAGCCAUUUCCAUUCCAAAAUAUUCUACCUAUAUCAUUGAGAGACCAUGUGUCUGGAAAAGGAAAUAAACAACAAAGAUACUCAAAAACAAAAGAAAAUUCAAGAGAGAGAGGGUGUUCUUGUGCCUGGGGAAAAGGACCUAUCUCCAAAACAACUCAAUCAACUCCUAAGGAAAUACCCUCAGCCAAAUUGAUUUUAUUAUUAUUAUUUUAUACGAAAGUUUCCUUAGAUCUGCUAAUUAAAAUCAAACACCGAGUCACUACCAGUGACCUAGGGUGAUUGAAGUUUGAGGCAAUGGAGCAUCAACGAAAACAUGCAAAAUAUGCAGAACAACCACAAAUCAAAGCAUCCAGUCAAAUCAAUUCACGCACACAAAGAACACAUCAGAUUGAUAAUGCUCUUCUGAGAACAUGUGCUGUGCUUUAUUAUUAUUAUUAUUAUCAUCAUCUUCAUUUUUUAUAUUAUCAUUAUUGUUAUUAUUAUUCUAGGUAUGUUUGUGUAAUAAAGUGUACAUAUUGAGUUGAGUCUUUCCCUGCAAGUUUAUGCAAGAAACAAUAAUUAUGUAUUAAGAAAAAAUAAAAGGAAGUGCGGCACUGUUAAAGUGUUGGACUUUGGACUACA